rnacentral:rRNA from 1 species
UACGGGGGGGGCAAGCGUUGUUCGGAAUUACUGGGCGUAAAGGGCGCGUAGGUGGCCAACUAAGUUAGACGUGAAAUCCCUCGGCUUAACCGGGGAACUGCGUCUGAUACUGGAUGGCUUGAAUCCGGGAGAGGGAUGCGGAAUUCCAGGUGUAGCGGUGAAAUGCGUAGAUAUCAGGAGGAACACCAAUGGCGAAGGCAGCACUCUGGGACGUGACUGACGCUGAGACGCGAAAGCGUGGGGAGCAAACAGG